GCCGGGGUGGCGAAACAGGCAGACGCGCUAGGUUCAGGACUUAGUGAGGAUUACCCUCAUGCGGGUUCAAGUCCCGCCCCCGGCA
rnacentral:tRNA from 1 species